UACGUAGGGGGCAAGCGUUGUCCGGAUUUAUUGGGCGUAAAGCGCUCGCAGGUGGUUUGUCGCGUCGUGCGUGAAAGACCCCGGCUCAACUGGGGAGGGUCGUGCGAUACGGGCGAACUGGAGGCCAGUAGGGGGAUGCGGAAUUCCGGGUGUAGUGGUGGAAUGCGUAGAGAUCCGGAGGAACACCAGCGGCGAAGGCGGCAUCCUGGACUGGUCCUGACACUCAGGAGCGAAGGCGUGGGGAGCGAUCCGG
rnacentral:rRNA from 1 species